UUGACGGGGACCCGCACAAGCGGUGGAUGAUGUGGAUUAAUUCGAUGCAACGCGAAGAACCUUACUACCCUUGACAUGUCCGGAACUUGCCAGAGAUGGCUUGGUGCCGAAAGGGAAUCGGAACACAGGUGCUGCAUGGCUGUCGUCAGCUCGUGUCGUGAGAUGUUGGGUUAAGUCCCGCAACGAGCGCAACCCUUAUCAUUAGUUGCUACGCAAGGGCACUCUAAUGAGACUGCCGGUGACAAACCGGAGGAAGGUGGGGAUGACGUCAAGUCCUCAUGGCCCUUAUGGGUAGGGCUUCACACGUCAUACAAUGGUCGGUACAGAGGGUUGCCAAGCCGCGAGGCGGAGCCAAUCCCACAAAGCCGAUCGUAGUCCGGAUUGUUCUCUGCAACUCGAGAGCAUGAAGUCGGAAUCGCUAGUAAUCGCAGGUCAGCAUACUGCGGUGAAUACGUUCCCGGGUCUU
rnacentral:rRNA from 1 species